rnacentral:rRNA from 1 species
ACUCAAAUGAAUUGACGGGGGCCCGCACAAGCGGUGGAACAUGUGGUUCAAUUCGACGCAACGCGAAGAACCUUACCUGGGCUCGAAGUGUCGGUGACCCGCGGUGGAAACACCGCCUUCUCGCAAGAGACACCGAUAGAGGUGCUGCAUGGCUGUCGUCAGCUCGUGCCGUGAGGUGUUGGGUUAAGUCCCGCAACGAGCGCAACCCUUACUCUUAGUUGCCACCCGCAAGGGGGAACUCUAAGAGGACUGCUCCGGACAACGGAGAGGAAGGUGGGGAUGACGUCAAGUCAGCAUGGCCUUUAUGUCCAGGGCUACACACGUGUUACAAUGCGCGCCACAAAGCGUUGCGAACCCGCGAGGGGGAGCUAAUCGCAAAAAAGCGCGCUCAGUUCGGACUGCAGUCUGCAACUCGGCUGCACGAAGCCGGAAUCGCUAGUAAUGGCGUAUCAGAACGACGCCGUGAAUACGUUCCCGGGCCUUGUACACACCGCCCGU